AUACGGAGGGUGCAAGCGUUAAUCGGAAUUACUGGGCGUAAAGCGUACGUAGGCGGUUAUUUAAGUCAGAUGUGAAAGCCCGGGCUUAACUUGGGAACUGCAUUUGAAACUGGGUAACUAGAGUUUAGUAGAGGGGAGUGGAAUUUCAGGUGUAGCGGUGAAAUGCGUAGAGAUCUGAAGGAACACCAGUGGCGAAGGCGACUCCCUGGACUAAAACUGACGCUGAGGUACGAAAGCGUGGGUAGCAAACAGGAUUAGAAACCCCGGUAGUCC
rnacentral:rRNA from 1 species